rnacentral:rRNA from 1 species
GAUGAACGCUAGCUACAGGCUUAACACAUGCAAGUCGAGGGGUAACGAGAGGAAAGCUUGCUUUCCUUGUCGACGACCGGCGCACGGGUGAGUAACGCGUAUCCAACCUGCCCCCAACUAGGGAAUAACCUUGCGAAAGUAAGACUAAUACCCUAUAAUUUCCUCAGAUGACAUCUGACGAGGAAUAAAGAUUUAUAGGUUGGGGAUGGGGAUGCGUCUGAUUAGCUUGUUGGCGGGGUAACGGCCCACCAAGGCAACGAUCAGUAGGGGUUCUGAGAGGAAGGUCCCCCACAUUGGAACUGAGACACGGUCCAAACUCCUACGGGAGGCAGCAGUGAGGAAUAUUGGUCAAUGGGCGGAAGCCUGAACCAGCCAAAUAGCGUGCAGGAUGACGGCCCUAUGGGUUGUAAACUGCUUUUAUACAGGAAUAAAGUUAGCCACGUGUGGUUAUUUGUAGGUACUGUAUGAAUAAGGACCGGCUAAUUCCGUGCCAGCCGCCGCGGUAA